UGGAAUUGAGCUGCCAGGCGUUCAUGUG
rnacentral:sRNA from 1 species